GGGCCCCGAGUACGUGGACGGCAGCGCCUGGGCCUGACUUCAGCCACGUUGCACCCCAGGAGGCCCCGAAGCGGACCUCGGUCUGCGUCCCCCGCCGGGAAAUGAGGAGAUGGGUUGGGGUGCAUUUGAGUGUAUUGGUCAUGGACUGGAUGCCGGGAGUUUUUAAUAUAAGCGCGGAGUUUCUGUGAAAGGGAACGGCCUCACCUAAGCCCACCCAUGUCACGCGGGGAAUCAGUCAGCGUAGAAGAGCCAGUUAAGGUUUAAGGCCUGACGCCGGGUCCACCUGCAGAACCGGCGGAAGUCGAACGAGUAUCGCCGACUGGGCAGGUGAGUUUUCAUGUUCCUGUAAAAAAAAAGGCUAGUUGCGUUGAAGUUCUGAGAGUUUGGAACUCUUAAAACACUUUGUAUUUCAGUUUUCAGUUCCCUGUCGCAUUGUGAGUUGUGAAAGUCUAGAGCUGGGAUUAGUUCUUCGUUCUCAUUCCAUCUCGACUGAGCAGUUCUCCCCGCGGGGUGAUUUAGGGGCUGCAGCCUCGUGCCAGAGACCAGCAGUCUCACUGCAGCAGCUUGCAUGUAGCCUUUGUGUUGCCCGUUCACUUUUGGAAACUAGUGAAUGUGGUGUCAAAAAAGGCGUAAACUACACACUUCGCAGCCCUUUCCUGCCCUUGAGUUUGAUGUCUUUGGUGGAGGAGCUGUGGGAAAGAUGGAUGCAUGAAGCAUAGUCUGCUACCUGAAUACUACCUGGGAGCACAAGUGACCUAAGGAUGCCCUUGGUGAAGAAUUUGAAAACUUGAUCUUCACAGGAGUUGCCCGGAUCAUUUAAAAAUUUCAAGAGUCUGAGGAAAGCCAAAACUGUCUCUGGACAGUUCAUAAAUAUACAUUUAACACAAUGGGUCUGUGAAUAAAUAUUUAAAUAUGCUU